rnacentral:misc_RNA from 1 species
GGAUGCACUGCUUUCGUCCGAAAAUGCACUAGAGGCUGACCCACCAGUUGCAUUCACUGUAAUUCCAGGCUUUAGGAUUGGUAAAACUAUUAUACAGUGCCAGGUCUACCUCUCUCAAAUGCAAAGCAGGAUAAAUCGGUGAUCUUUCAAUUCAUGGAUAACAGAGGACGAAGAAUAAUGAAUCAAACCGGAGGCCAUAGUCAUGAUUCUUCACGAGUAAGAGUCAGUUGGGGCUAGUGAGUAGCCUGAUAGCUUUGUGUUCCUUGUGGGGGCUCAUUGAUGCUUAGUUUCCAUCCGACGAUUAGGAGAUCAUCUCACAGCAUCAAAGCGGGAACAGGAGGCCAUGGUCAUGAUUUUUCAUCUUUUGU